rnacentral:rRNA from 1 species
UUUAUGGAGAGUUUGAUCCUGGCUCAGGAUGAACGCUGGCGGCGUGCCUAAUACAUGCAAGUCGAGCGAACGGACGAGAAGCUUGCUUCUCUGAUGUUAGCGGCGGACGGGUGAGUAACACGUGGAUAACCUACCUAUAAGACUGGGAUAACUUCGGGAAACCGGAGCUAAUACCGGAUAAUAUUUUGAACCGCAUGGUUCAAAAGUGAAAGACGGUCUUGCUGUCACUUAUAGAUGGAUCCGCGCUGCAUUAGCUAGUUGGUAAGGUAACGGCUUACCAAGGCAACGAUGCAUAGCCGACCUGAGAGGGUGAUCGGCCACACUGGAACUGAGACACGGUCCAGACUCCUACGGGAGGCAGCAGUAGGGAAUCUUCCGCAAUGGGCGAAAGCCUGACGGAGCAACGCCGCGUGAGUGAUGAAGGUCUUCGGAUCGUAAAACUCUGUUAUUAGGGAAGAACAUAUGUGUAAGUAACUGUGCACAUCUUGACGGUACCUAAUCAGAAAGCCACGGCUAACUACGUGCCAGCAGCCGCGGUAAUACGUAGGUGGCAAGCGUUAUCCGGAAUUAUUGGGCGUAAAGCGCGCGUAGGCGGUUUUUUAAGUCUGAUGUGAAAGCCCACGGCUCAACCGUGGAGGGUCAUUGGAAACUGGAAAACUUGAGUGCAGAAGAGGAAAGUGGAAUUCCAUGUGUAGCGGUGAAAUGCGCAGAGAUAUGGAGGAACACCAGUGGCGAAGGCGACUUUCUGGUCUGUAACUGACGCUGAUGUGCGAAAGCGUGGGGAUCAAACAGGAUUAGAUACCCUGGUAGUCCACGCCGUAAACGAUGAGUGCUAAGUGUUAGGGGGUUUCCGCCCCUUAGUGCUGCAGCUAACGCAUUAAGCACUCCGCCUGGGGAGUACGACCGCAAGGUUGAAACUCAAAGGAAUUGACGGGGACCCGCACAAGCGGUGGAGCAUGUGGUUUAAUUCGAAGCAACGCGAAGAACCUUACCAAAUCUUGACAUCCUUUGACAACUCUAGAGAUAGAGCCUUCCCCUUCGGGGGACAAAGUGACAGGUGGUGCAUGGUUGUCGUCAGCUCGUGUCGUGAGAUGUUGGGUUAAGUCCCGCAACGAGCGCAACCCUUAAGCUUAGUUGCCAUCAUUAAGUUGGGCACUCUAAGUUGACUGCCGGUGACAAACCGGAGGAAGGUGGGGAUGACGUCAAAUCAUCAUGCCCCUUAUGAUUUGGGCUACACACGUGCUACAAUGGACAAUACAAAGGGCAGCGAAACCGCGAGGUCAAGCAAAUCCCAUAAAGUUGUUC